GCGGAUGUAGCUCAGUGGAAGAGCGCCACGUUGCCAUCGUGGAGGUCACGGGUUCGACCCCCGUCAUCCGCU
rnacentral:tRNA from 1 species